rnacentral:rRNA from 1 species
AAUCCCAAAACCAUCGAGGUCUCUAGAAAAACAAAUAAACAACCCAGUGCUGAAAUAAAUUUUUAAAAAUAUUCCCAAGAUAAUUACCUGCAAACUUCAAGCCCCCAAGACCCUUAG